rnacentral:rRNA from 1 species
UAGCGUUGUUCGGAAUUACUGGGCGUAAAGAGUACGUAGGCGGUUUUUAAGUCAGAGGUGAAAUCCCGGAGCUCAACUCCGGAACUGCCUUUGAAACUGGAAAGCUAGAAUCAUGGAGAGGUUAGUGGAAUUCCGAGUGUAGAGGUGAAAUUCGUAGAUAUUCGGAAGAACACCAGUGGCGAAGGCGACUGACUGGACAUGUAUUGACGCUGAGGUACGAAAGCGUGGGGAGCAAACAGGAUUAGAUACCCUGGUAGUCCACGCCGUAAACGAUGAUAACUAGUUGUUCGGGCACAACGUGCUUGAGUGACGCAGCUAACGCAUUAAGUUAUCCGCCUGGGGAGUACGGUCGCAAGAUUAAAACUCAAAGGAAUUGACGGGGGCCUGCACAAGCGGUGGAGCAUGUGGUCUAAUUCGAAGCAACGCGCAGAACCUUACCAGCGUUUGACAUCCUUGUCGCGGAUUUCAGAGAUGAUUUCCUUCAGUUCGGCUGGACAAGUGACAGGUGCUGCAUGGCUGUCGUCAGCUCGUGUCGUGAGAUGUUGGGUUAAGUCCCGCAACGAGCGCAACCCUCAUCUUUAGUUGCCAUCACUUCAGUUGGGCACUCUAAAGAAACUGCCGGUGAUAAGCCGGAGGAAGGUGGGGAUGACGUCAAGUCCUCAUGGCCCUUACACGCUGGGCUACACACGUGCUACAAUGGCGGUGACAGUGGGCAGCAACCUCGCGAGGGGUAGCUAAUCUCCAAAAGCCGUCUCAGUUCGGAUUGUUCUCUGCAACUCGAGAGCAUGUAGGCGGAAUCGCUAGUAAUCGCGGAUC